GGAGAAAGAAAAGAUACUUCCAUUGCCUCUACCUGCUCUGCAACAGCCAACCAACCAGACUACUUGAGAUGCUGCUUCAUCGAAUCCUAGCAGAUUAUCAGCAGAUACAACAGGAUAGCCCAAGCUACUUUGAAAUGAAGAACAGGUGCCUGUACCUCCACAGCAAGCUGUCACAUAUUCAGAGCCUCAUAUCUGAAUUUGACAAGCAGUAGGUGGAGUUCUGGCACCAGGCAAGUGCUUCAGCCAAAAAUAUCUAUGAACUCUGGACUUUUUAUUUAAACCAGAAGAUUAGGCUUUUAGGAUUAUUUACUUUAGUAUUAAACAGUAGGUUCUGUUAGCAGUAAGCAGUUGGUUAGUUUCUAA